rnacentral:tRNA from 1 species
GGUGAAAUGACUGAUAAUAGGUAAUAAACUGUAAAUUUAUUUAUGAGAAAUUUUCUCUUUUACCA